UGGGGAAUAUUGCACAAUGGGCGAAAGCCUGAUGCAGCGACGCCGCGUGAGGGAUGACGGCCUUCGGGUUGUAAACCUCUUUCAGUAGGGACGAAGCGCAAGUGACGGUACCUGCAGAAGAAGCACCGGCUAACUACGUGCCAGCAGCCGCGGUAAUACGUAGGGUGCGAGCGUUGUCCGGAAUUACUGGGCGUAAAGAGCUCGUAGGCGGUUUGUCACGUCGUCUGUGAAAUCCUAGGGCUUAACCCUGGACGUGCAGGCGAUACGGGCUGACUUGAGUACUACAGGGGAGACUGGAAUUUCUGGUGUAGCGGUGGAAUGCACAGAUAUCAGGAAGAACACCGAUGGCGAAGGCAAGUCUCUGGGUAGUAACUGACGCUGAGGAGCGAAAGCAUGGGUAGCGAACAGG
rnacentral:rRNA from 1 species